UAGCUGAGUGGUAAAGCGCUUGGCUUUCGAACCGGGGAUCCCAGGCUCAAAUCCUGG
rfam:Biomphalaria glabrata isolate BB02 unplaced genomic scaffold LGTN_random_Scaffold5836, whole genome shotgun sequence.